AUUCCAGACAGCUGUAUUUCAGCAUAGGGGGAUUUAUUGCAUUUAUUUGCAAAUAUUUUGUGAAGAAAAAGAGACGAAAUGGUGAGCAACACAGGUGUUUUCUGGACAAAUAACAUGACUCUGAAGAUCAAUGACAUAUCUGCAAGGUACUCUAAGAAUUAUGUAUUACCUAUACAACAUGUACACAACCUCUAUGUACAAAUCGUUUUCUUCAGGACAACUGAGCAAGAGGACACAGUUAAAGACAACAUAAAUUUAGAAGCAAGACAAAGUGUUAACAAGAAAAAUUAUAAGGAAAGAAACAUUAUUUCUGAAGGUUUUCUGUUGCAUUUUAUGCAACAAUUUCUGAUAAAUAAACAAUAGGAGGUUAAUUUCAAAUUCUUUCACGAUGUGUUAAAUCUUCUCAAAUUUUCCUUAUGUGGCCAUAAUGAAAGUAACUUAAAUAAUCCCUGCAUAACAUAUGUUGGAAACUUCUGUUAAUAAUCAAAAAUUAGCCUGGUGUUGCAGGUGUUCGAUGUUUGCAACUUCUCUGAAUAUAAGCCCUCAUCAGCAGCUAGAAGGAUGCCUUAAUUGCUUUUCAGUCUCUCAUAUGAUCAUUCUGUCUACUGAAUAAAACAGACGAAAAACAACAAAAAUUAAGAUUGUUAAAGAUUAAAAAAAAUGCUGAGUAACCACUUUAAUAUUUGCCACAUUUCUUACUUGAACUCAACUCAAUGCCUAUAAAGAUUUCAGCUUUGUGUUGUUGCUGUUGAUGCUGGUUUU
ensembl:lncRNA